rnacentral:rRNA from 1 species
GAUGAACGCUGGCGGCGUGCCUAAUACAUGCAAGUCGAGCGAACGGACGAGAAGCUUGCUUCUCUGAUGUUAGCGGCGGACGGGUGAGUAACACGUGGAUAACCUACCUAUAAGACUGGGAUAACUUCGGGAAACCGGAGCUAAUACCGGAUAAUAUUUUGAACCGCAUGGUUCAAAAGUGAAAGACGGUCUUGCUGUCACGUAUAGAUGGAUCCGCGCUGCAUUAGCUAGUUGGUAAGGUAACGGCUUACCAAGGCAACGAUGCAUAGCCGACCUGAGAGGGUGAUCGGCCACACUGGAACGGAGACACGGUCCAGACUCCUACGGGAGGCAGCGGUAGGGAAUCUUACGCAAUGGGCGAAAGCCUAACGGAGCAACGCCGCGUGAGUGAUGAAGGUCUUCGGAUCGUAAAACUCUGUUAUUAGGGAAGAACAUAUGUGUAAGUAACUGUGCACAUCUUGACGGUACCUAAUCAGAAAGCCACGGCUAACUACGUG